rnacentral:pre_miRNA from 1 species
GAAACGCAAAGAACGUUAGCUGUCCCCCGGAGUUUCCCUGACCACUUCACUGGGGCUAUAAUUCUACUCUUCGUGUUUAAGGGUAGAGGCAACCCUUCCUCACUGAAGUGUUUGGGGGAACUCUGGGUGGCAUUUAACACUGUUUAGCUGUC